GUGGGGAAUCUUCCGCAAUGGACGAAAGUCUGACGGAGCAACGCCGCGUGAGUGAUGAAGGUCUUCGGAUUGUAAAGCUCUGUUAAUCGGGACGAAAGAGCCUAGUGUGAAUAAUGCUAGGAAGUGACGGUACCGGAAUAGAAAGCCACGGCUAACUACGUGCCAACAGCCGCGGUAAUACGUAGGUGGCAAGCGUUGUCCGGAAUUAUUGGGCGUAAAGCGCGCGCAGGCGGAUCUGCCAGUCUGUCUUAAAAGUUCGGGGCUUAACCCCGUGAUGGGAUGGAAACUACAGAUCUAGAGUAUCGGAGAGGAAAGUGGAAUUCCUAGUGUAGCGGUGAAAUGCGUAGAUAUUAGGAAGAACACCAGUGGCGAAGGCGACUUUCUGGACGAAAACUGACGCUGAGGCGCGAAAGCCAGGGGAGCGAACGGGAUUAGAAACCCCGGUAGUCC
rnacentral:rRNA from 1 species